rnacentral:rRNA from 1 species
UCAAGCAUUAAGAGCGCAGGGUGGAUGCCUUGGCACUGAGAGCCGAUGAAGGACGUGAUAAGCUGCGAAAAGCUUCGGGGAGGAGCAAAUAUCCAUUGAUCCGGAGAUAUCCGAAUGGGGAAACCCACUUGAGCAAACCUCAAGUAUCCAUACGCCAAUCCAUAACGUAUGGAAGGGAACCGGGGGAACUGAAACAUCUAAGUACCCCGAGGAGAAGAAAGAAACCUCGAUUUCCAAAGUAGCGGCGAGCGAAAUGGAAAGAGCCCAAACCGUGGUGCGUGCACCGCGGGGUUGUGGACUGCAUAAGGUACUCGAAUCAAUAGCCGAACAGUUUUGGGAAAUCUGAUCAGAGAGGGUGAAAAUCCCGUAGGCGAAAUUGAUGAGAGGCUGGCAGGAUCCAGAGUACCACGAGACACGGGAAACCUUGUGGGAAGCAGGAGGGACCACCCUCCAAGGCUAAAUACUCCUCAGUGACCGAUAGCGCAUAGUACUGUGAAGGAAAGGUGAAAAGGACCCCGGGAGGGGAGUGAAAGAGAACCUGAAACCCUGUGUUUACAAGCUGUGGAAGUGCCUUAUGUGCACAACCGCGUACUUUUUGUAGAACGGUCCGGCGAGUUACGUUUACUGGCAAGGUUAAGCACUACAGGUGCGGAGCCGAAGGGAAACCAAGUCUUAAGAGGGCGCAAAGUCAGUAAGAGUAGACCCGAAACCGGGUGAUCUACCCAUGUCCAGGCUGAAGCUGCCGUAAGAGGUAGUGGAGGGCCGAACGCACAUCCGUUGAAAAGGGUGGCGAUGAGGUGUGGGUAGGGGAGAAAUUCCAAUCGAACCCGGAGAUAGCUGGUUCUCCUCGAAAUAGCUUUAGGGCUAGCCUCGAUGGAGUCUUACGGAGGUAGAGCACUGAAUUUCUAAGGGGGCGUCAAAGCUUACCAAGGGAUAUCAAACUCCGAAUGCCGUAAAGAUGCUCAUCGGGAGUCAGACUGCACGAGAUAAGUUGGGCAGUCAAAAGGGAAAGAGCCCAGACCUGCUGCUAAGGUCCCAAAGUACGUGUUAAGUGGAAAAGGAUGUGGGAUUUCGAAGACAACUAGGAUGUUGGCUCAGAAGCAGCCACACAUUCAAAGAGUGCGUAAUAGCUCACUAGUCGAGAGGUCCUGCGCCGAAAAUGUCCGGGGCUGAAACACGACACCGAAGCACAGGAUACCGCAAGGUAUGGUAGAGGAGCAUUGCUGGCGCGACGAAGCAGUACCGGAAGGAGCUGUGGAGUGCCAGGAAGAGAGAAUGCCGGAAUGAGUAGCGAGAGAGAGGUGGGAAUCCUCUCGGCCGAAUAUCCAAGGUUUCCAGGGUAAAGCUGAUCUGCCCUGGGUAAGUCGGGGCCUAAGGAGAGGCAGAAAUGCGUAUCCGAUGGACAGCAGGUUGAGAUUCCUGCACUAUCUUAAAACAGAACUGUGGGGACAUUUGUGGAGAGCACAGGCGCGGAACGGAAAGCCGCGUGCAAGCGAAGGAGGAGUCACAUAGGAAAAACCGUGUGGCAAUCCAGAGGCGUGAUGCGGACCGAACUAAAGUAGGGAAGUGUGUGAGCCAUGAAUCAAGAAAAGCCGCUAUUGUUUUUAAGAUACCCGUACCGUAAACCGACACAGGUGGAUGAGGAGAGAAUCCUAAGGCCGGCGGAAGAAGCAUUGUUAAGGAACUCGGCAAAAUGACCCCGUAACUUCGGGAGAAGGGGUGCCAACGAGAGUUGGCCGCAGAGAAUAGGCUCAAGCAACUGUUUAGCAAAAACACAGGUCUAUGCAAAACCGUAAGGUGAGGUAUAUGGGCUGACGCCUGCCCGGUGCUGGAAGGUUAAGAGGAGAGGUUAGCGGAAACGCGAAGCUUUGAAUUUAAGCCCCAGUAAACGGCGGCCGUAACUAUAACGGUCCUAAGGUAGCGAAAUUCCUUGUCGGGUAAGUUCCGACCCGCACGAAAGGCGUAAUGAUUUGAGCGCUGUCUCGACAAUGCAUCCGGUGAAAUUGAAGUACCAGUGAAGAUGCUGGUUACCUGCGCCAGGACGGAAAGACCCCAUGGAGCUUUACUCCAGUUUGGUAC